rnacentral:rRNA from 1 species
CCUACGGGUGGCUGCAGUCGAGAAUCAUUCACAAUGGGGGAAACCCUGAUGGUGCGACGCCGCGUGGGGGAAUGAAGGUCUUUGGAUUGUAAACCCCUGUCAUGUGGGAGCAAAUUAAAAAGAUAGUACCACAAGAGGAAGAGACGGCUAACUCUGUGCCAGCAGCCGCGGUAAUACAGAGGUCUCAAGCGUUGUUCGGAAUCACUGGGCGUAAAGCGUGCGUAGGCUGUUUCGUAAGUCGUGUGUGAAAGGUGCGGGCUCAACCCGCGGAGUGCAUAUGAUACUGUGAGGCUAGAGAGAUGGAGGGGUAGGCGGAAUGCACGGUGUAGCAGUGAAAUGCGUAGAUAUC